CUCCAUGAGCAGUGGGACUGAGGAAAGCCGCGGCACCGCUGCAGAGAGCCAGAUGGACGCCGAGACCCCGGGGCACCGGGGAAUCGCGAAAGGUGGAUGGAUCAGAGGAGACAACUGCCAGCAGCUUAGACAAAGGACAAGGGAUCUCUAGCAGCUCAAGCCCUGGUCCUCCCUCUUCUU